AGCAGCCGCGGUAAUUCCAGCUCCAAUAGCGUAUAUUAAAGUUGCUGCAGUUAAAAGGCUCGUAGUUGAAUUUCGGGACUAAUAUGUUGGUCGUGCCUCGGUACGUACAGAUAUUUUGGUUUCUCCCUUCUGACGAACCUUGAUGUCAUUAAUUUGGUGUCUUGGGAAAUCAGGACUGUUACUUUGAAAAAAUUUAGAGUGUUUAAAGCAGGCUCACGCUUGAAUACAUUAGCAUGGAAUAAUGAAAUAGGACGUUUGAUUCUAUUUUGUUGGUUUCUAGGAUUGACGUAAUGAUUAAUAGGGAUAGUUGGGGGCAUUAGUAUUCAAUUGUCAGAGGUGAAAUUCUUGGAUUUAUUGAAGACUAACUACUGCGAAAGCAUUUGCCAAGGAUGUUUUCAUUAAUCAAGAACGAAAGUUAGGGGAUCGAAGACGAUCAGAUACCGUCGUAGUCUUAACCAUAAACUAUGCCGACUAGGGAUCGGAUGAUGUUAAUUUUUUAAUGACUCAUUCGGCGCCUUAC
rnacentral:rRNA from 1 species